rnacentral:rRNA from 1 species
AGUAAACGCUGGCGGUAGGCCUAACACAUGCAAGUCGAACGGCAGCACAGGAGAGCUUGCUCUCUGGGUGGCGAGUGGCGGACGGGUGAGGAAUACAUCGGAAUCUACCUUUUCGUGGGGGAUAACGUAGGGAAACUUACGCUAAUACCGCAUACGACCUACUGGUGAAAGUGGGGGACCGCAAGGCCUCACGCGAUUAGAUGAGCCGAUGUCCGAUUAGCUAGUUGGCGGGGUAAUGGCCCACCAAGGCGACGAUCGGUAGCUGGUCUGAGAGGAUGAUCAGCCACACUGGAACUGAGACACGGUCCAGACUCCUACGGGAGGCAGCAGUGGGGAAUAUUGGACAAUGGGCGCAAGCCUGAUCCAGCCAUACCGCGUGGGUGAAGAAGGCCUUCGGGUUGUAAAGCCCUUUUGUUGGGAAAGAAAUCCUGUCGAUUAAUACUCGGUGGGGAUGACGGUACCCAAAGAAUAAGCACCGGCUAACUUCGUGCCAGCCGCCGCAGUAACAC